AUUGAACGCUGGCGGCAGGCCUAACACAUGCAAGUCGAACGGUAGCACAGAGAGCUUGCUCUCGGGUGACGAGUGGCGGACGGGUGAGUAAUGUCUGGGAAACUGCCUGAUGGAGGGGGAUAACUACUGGAAACGGUAGCUAAUACCGCAUAACGUCGCAAGACCAAAGAGGGGGACCUUCGGGCCUCUUGCCAUCAGAUGUGCCCAGAUGGGAUUAGCUAGUAGGUGGGGUAACGGCUCACCUAGGCGACGAUCCCUAGCUGGUCUGAGAGGAUGACCAGCCACACUGGAACUGAGACACGGUCCAGACUCCUACGGGAGGCAGCAGUGGGGAAUAUUGCACAAUGGGCGCAAGCCUGAUGCAGCCAUGCCGCGUGUGUGAAGAAGGCCUUCGGGUUGUAAAGCACUUUCAGCGGGGAGGAAGGCAGUAAGGUUAAUAACCUUGUUCAUUGACGUUACCCGCAGAAGAAGCACCGGCUAACUCCGUGCCAGCAGCCGCGGUAAUACGGAGGGUGCAAGCGUUAAUCGGAAUUACUGGGCGUAAAGCGCACGCAGGCGGUCUGUCAAGUCGGAUGUGAAAUCCCCGGGCUCAACCUGGGAACUGCAUCCGAAACUGGCAGGCUUGAGUCUCGUAGAGGGAGGUAGAAUUCCAGGUGUAGCGGUGAAAUGCGUAGAGAUCUGGAGGAAUACCGGUGGCGAAGGCGGCCUCCUGGACGAAGACUGACGCUCAGGUGCGAAAGCGUGGGGAGCAAACAGGAUUAGAUACCCUGGUAGUCCACGCCGUAAACGAUGUCUAUUUGGAGGUUGUGCCCUUGAGGCGUGGCUUCCGGAGCUAACGCGUUAAAUAGACCGCCUGGGGAGUACGGCCGCAAGGUUAAAACUCAAAUGAAUUGACGGGGGCCCGCACAAGCGGUGGAGCAUGUGGUUUAAUUCGAUGCAACGCGAAGAACCUUACCUGGUCUUGACAUCCACAGAACUUUCCAGAGAUGGAUUGGUGCCUUCGGGAACUGUGAGACAGGUGCUGCAUGGCUGUCGUCAGCUCGUGUUGUGAAAUGUUGGGUUAAGUCCCGCAACGAGCGCAACCCUUAUCCUUUGUUGCC
rnacentral:rRNA from 2 species